rnacentral:rRNA from 1 species
UACGGGGGAGGAGCAGCUGUUCGUGAAUUACUGGGCGUAAAGGGCGCGUAGGCGGCCUGUUAAGUCGAACGUGAAAUCCCCGGGCUCAACCCGGGAACUGCGUCCGAUACUGGCAGGCUUGAAUCCGGGAGAGGGAUGCGGAAUUCCAGGUGUAGCGGUGAAAUGCGUAGAUAUCUGGAGGAACACCGGUGGCGAAGGCGGCAUCCUGGACCGGCAUUGACGCUGAGGCGCGAAAGCCAGGGGAGCAAACAGG